UAUAAAUAGAGGAGGAACCUGCUCCCCAUUUCCACCACAAUCAGUUUCCAAAGAAAAGUUAAGUUUAUAUACGGAGUAGCUCACAAUAACCUCUCGCCUCCUUUCCUUUGUUCUCACGCUGAACCACCGCCACCACCGCGGCUCUGCCGUCGUCCAAAAUAAUACCACCACCCUAAAAAUCUUCCGUUUUCCUCCACCCAAAUAUAUUCAUCCAUUACUCUCAAACAUCAAGCUCUAAUUGUAGAACUCCAUUGCCGAAACCGAACAUCAAAACACGCACACACUCUCCUAAGCUCUCUCUCUUCAGACACGGACCACCUCCACUGCCGCCCAGACCACCGGUCCUGCCGCUCAGUCGUGCCGGCAAGACCUUUCUGUCCCCACCUGAACUCCUCCUUGCUCUAUCCUGUGGCGGCCGUUAACUCACGCAACCCAACCCCUUCUUCCGUCGUGCUUCCUUGUUUCAUGAAACCAAAAAAAAAAAAAAAAAAACUCUGUUUUGGUUUCCUUUUCUAAGUGUACAAUACACUUAUGCAUUACUAAAGUCAACCUUUCUUUUUUAGACACUAAGCCAAUUUUAAAUAUCCGGUUCUUGAAGCUCAGGAAGAACGGUCCAUCGAACAGGAAGUAUAAACUACGGUUGAGGUACGAAGAAGAUCAUGGGAUGCCUUAGAGUGAGGAUGCAACCACCAAAUUCACGAUCGAUGUUUAGUAAAGAUAACUAUGUCAUUAGUAAUAAAGGGAUGUAUUAUUUAAAGUCUAAGUUUGAUUUCAUGAUUUGAGUUAGAUUUUAAUAUUAAUGUUUAAUCAGAUGUUAAAAGUGUUUAUUAUUAAAGUUUCUUUAGUAAUUUAAAAAGGUUAUGUCGCCUUGUAUUUCCCACGAGGGAGAUACGGCAGUGACACUCCGACUAAAUUAGGGUUUCCGCUGCUAAUUAAAGAUAAUUAACCUAAUUUAUGGUGUUUAGAAUUCGGGGCGUUACAGUUUGGUAUUCAGAGCAAAGGUUCUGCGACCAUAAGUGCUAAACCUUACGGGUUUUGCACGAAAUAAAAUUCAAUAGGCUUUAAGCAAAGAGGUUUAAGGAAUAAGUUAAAAAGAAUAUGUUAAAAUCAAGUCAAGUUAAAAUGGAAUGAGUGUGAGUGUAGGAACGGGAUUAAAGGGAUUUAUUCUUCUGUUAUUUAUGUUUUCUUGAUUGAAUAUGUUAUGCAAAUAUCGACUAUCGAGGUUACUAACGAUGCCACGAACGAAGCUUAUAAGCGCAACGUUCACGAUGACGUCGUCCACAAUGAUGUUUUCCAUGAUGAUAUUUAUGACGACCAACUUAUAGAAGACCACAAGAGAUUAUGGAACGAUUAGGAACGACAAGUACGAUGUUAACUGAAUUAGUCAAAGAUUCUCGGAAAACGAAAGACACUAAGCGAAAGAAAAUGCGUCACUAUUCGGGAAAAAAAAAAAAAAAAAAAAUUCACCCUCGAAUCCACCAAUCUAUGACGACAAGCCCGAUUCGAUGGAACUUGAAAAAUGGAUCAAUCAGAUAGAUCAACUAUUCGAAACUUUGCAAUGCCCGAUGAAUAGGAAGUAAGUGUCGUGCAGAAACGAAUACGUGUUAUCGAUGUGGAGGAAAGAUCAUUUCGUCAGAGACUGUCAUAAACCACCUUUCACGAAUACAGGAGGAGCAACCUCAGCUCGACCGAUCACGGACGAAGCAACGAUGCUAAGGUUAAUCAUAAUCCAUCACGACCACCAACAUAUGUAAGAGCUUACAUGAUGAAAGACGAAGAUGACGCCAAUGCUGAUAUUAUUUUAAUUUAUCUCUCUUACUCUGGAACCGAACUUCCCUUGAUUUCACGUUUAUCAAGUUUCCUACCCUGGACAGACUACGCAAAGUUUAAGCAUUACUGUUUUCUUGGAAGAAGUUAAGUUAAGCACGAUGCGAACUCAAAGAAUUUGUGGAUAUGAAUUGUUUUGAGGAACUUUUAUGUUUAUGAAAUCUUUAAGGAUGAUAUUAAUGUUAGAGUACCAAACGAGCAUAAGGUUGUAUUUCGUGAGUGGUGGAUCAUUAAUUAAGUAAAGGUUAUUCUAGGUUUAAAGUGCUCAAGUUAAGAAUGAAAUUGAUUUUAGGGUUAUCUUCCUGUGUUAUUCAUGAUGAAUAUUUUGGUGUUUAUAAGAACAAAAGUCUACUAUCUAAAUGAUGAUUGAUAUGCCUCUGUUAAGGAAGCUAAGCUAGAAAUUUUAAAGGUUAUGCAAGAAUAUUAUGCGAAAUCGAGCAUGAUUUAUGGUGAAAAUAUGAAAGUGGGUUUGCAUAUAAAGUUUUGAGGACCUUACCAAAAGAAGUUAUUAAUAAUUAGUUUGUCUAUCAGGUUGAUGAUAUCAAUGAAUGUUAUGAAAUUCCAAAUGAAUUAUGAAUAUAAUGAUUGAGGAAUGCAAUGGAAUUGAGAAUAGGAAAUCGACAAAAUGACAUGUCUAUAAAACCAGGUAGUAUGAACUAAGUUUUCUGGAAGAUAGAUUGUUUCUGAUAAAGGCACACUUGAUGACUUAGCAUUAUCCGCAAAAUACGAGGGUUGUCUACCUGAAAUACUAAGAAUAAGUAACGAAGUCGUAUGUCCAACGAUGUAUUUUCUGUUGCGUGAUUGACUCGAACCCCUGCAACGAACGUAGUCAACGAAGUUAUUCAACGUAGAAGAAAAGAUCGGAGAUCGAAAUCAAAACGAAUCGAAUAAAGAAAGUCAACGACAAGAUUCCUGCAGCAAAGAAGCUCAAGAAUGAACGAAAACGCAAUAUCUCCAAUUAGUCGCCUAAGAAUGAUAUAAUGUACGAAUCACGAUGUUUUAUGUAAACGUAUUGUGAAUCAACCAUGCUCAUGUGUUAGAUCAAAUGAUUAUGAUAUGAAUGUUAUGCUUAUGUUGAAUGUGAAAUUUUCAAUUAAUGAAUUAUGUCUUUAUGAUAUGCUUUAUGGAUUAUGUUUAUGCUGACAUGAUAGUAUUGGUAAUGUAAUCGUUAUACAUGGAAGCCGACCUCGAUGGAAGUUCUCCUGAGCUCAGAGUACGAGAUUGUUAUAAUAAAUUAUUUUUACAAAUUAUUUGACUAUUAUAAAUUGUUAGAUAAAUAUUUAUUUUCAUUAUAGAUAUAUCUUCAGAAUUUUAAUUUUGUAUUAAAAAUUACUAUUUUGGUGGAAAACAUUUUCAAACGGGAUCUCACAAAGUAAAAUGUGAGCUUAGUCUAUGCUAACAAGUUUGCCCCUUUUUAUGUCCUUUGCUCCUCGAUCCUAUUUUUAUGAAGUAAAGUGGAGAUACGAAAGAUGAUGACGGAAUUUGAUUGACCUUAAUGACGAUUAAGGAUCAACAUAUAAUUUUGCCCCUUUUGUAUUCUUUACUCUUCGAUUCUAGGUCUCGAGUUGAAGCGGAGUCAUAAAAGAAGAUGGCGAAAUGAAGGCUAGAUGUUGUCGGAAUUAAAAUGAAAUUGUGAGAUCUUGGUUUUAAAAAUAAAACAUCAUACUUUUACUCGAAUAUUUUCGAUUUUCAACAAUCAUUUUAUACGUCUAGUUUUCAAGUUUCGAGGACGAAACUUUUUCUAAGGGGGAAAGAAUGUAAUACCCCGAAUUUUAAAAACUUGAUUAAUUAUGCUAAAUUACUUUUAUUUAGCUUAAAACCGUUUUAAAUCCUAAUUUCAAACUUUAUUUCAAUUAACGAAGUUUUAAUGCGAUUGAGUUUUAAUAUUGUUACACGAUUUAUUUUUUUCAGAUUUUAUAAUUUAAUUUUUUUUUACGAGCUUAAACUACCUUCUUAAAUCUUAUUUAUUUCGAAUUUUUAAUUUCGGAACGUUCUUAUUUUAUUCGAAAACUAAAUUUAUUUUAUGUUAUCGAUAUUUUAUAAAGAAUUAUUUGAAAAUCUGAUUUUAAUUAAACAUUUCUAUUUAUAUAGGAUUCCUAAAUAUAGCAAAGGAAUUUCUGAAUUUUACCCAACUUUGAAAUAACCCAAAAUGCUAGAUAAAAAAAAAAAAGAGGAAAAAGAAAAAAAAACUCAUCCCCUAGCUUCCUCCCCCUUCUCCCACGUGUAUGUGUAGAACAAGGGUCAAAUUUUACUUGUUUCUUUGACUCCUCUUUACCCCAAAUUCAGUCCAAGUUCAUUUUCUUGACCCCCAAGUACCUCUCCUUCUUCCUUACUCUACUUCCAUGGUGAGGUCAUGAAUGAUGUCCAUUGAAUUCCAAUUACCUUAUAAAUAGAGGAGGAACCUGCUCCCCAUUUCCACCACAAUCAGUUUCCAAAGAAAAGUUAAGUUUAUAUACGGAGUAGCUCACAAUAACCUCUCGCCUCCUUUCCUUUGUUCUCACGCUGAACCACCGCCACCACCGCGGCUCUGCCGUCGUCCAAAAUAAUACCACCACCCUAAAAAUCUUCCGUUUUCCUCCACCCAAAUAUAUUCAUCCAUUACUCUCAAACAUCAAGCUCUAAUUGUAGAACUCCAUUGCCGAAACCGAACAUCAAAACACGCACACACUCUCCUAAGCUCUCUCUCUUCAGACACGGACCACCUCCACUGCCGCCCAGACCACCGGUCCUGCCGCUCAGUCGUGCCGGCAAGACCUUUCUGUCCCCACCUGAACUCCUCCUUGCUCUAUCCUGUGGCGGCCGUUAACUCACGCAACCCAACCCCUUCUUCCGUCGUGCUUCCUUGUUUCAUGAAACCAAAAAAAAAAAAAAAAAAACUCUGUUUUGGUUUCCUUUUCUAAGUGUACAAUACACUUAUGCAUUACUAAAGUCAACCUUUCUUUUUUAGACACUAAGCCAAUUUUAAAUAUCCGGUUCUUGAAGCUCAGGAAGAACGGUCCAUCGAACAGGAAGUAUAAACUACGGUUGAGGUACGAAGAAGAUCAUGGGAUGCCUUAGAGUGAGGAUGCAACCACCAAAUUCACGAUCGAUGUUUAGUAAAGAUAACUAUGUCAUUAGUAAUAAAGGGAUGUAUUAUUUAAAGUCUAAGUUUGAUUUCAUGAUUUGAGUUAGAUUUUAAUAUUAAUGUUUAAUCAGA